GAUGCUUCAUUUUUGCAUUUUUUUCUCGUCCUCAGCCAUCUGAAGUUCAGUUUUAUCUUGUUCAGCAUGUUUUUUUUUCAUUUUUUCCAUUACUGAAAGCUGCUCAGGCGUCAGGUUUAUUGCUUGAGUAUGUGUCAACACAUUCACCGCAUCAGACAUAUCACAAUGCAGCUUAGUCACAGAGUCUCCACGCCCUAGCUCCUGUCGAACUCCAUAAGCAAUAUAUGUCUUUGGUCCCAUGUCAGGCUUCAACGAAUUGGGUGGCAGUUUGACAGCAAGAUUUAGGAAUCCAUUUUGUGGAUUUGUGUACUCCUGAAAAGGCAAGCAUCUAACAAACUCAGCGCCAUGACGAGGUAAUCGCUCAUCGAAUAAAUCAGAUGGAGGCCAAUCUUUCAACUUCAGAAUCUGGGGCCAACCAGCA
rnacentral:misc_RNA from 1 species